UCGAUCACUUUACCAAAAUUUAUAUAUGACCUAGCUCUCUCUCUCUCUCGAAACGAGAUUGAAGGCUGAAUCUUCUCAGAGACGUCGUCCAUGUUUGGCCUCUGUAAUCUCGCUCACCUUGGAUUGCUGAAUCUUCUCAGAUGCUUCAUCUUCUCAUGUUUGGCCUCUGUAAUCUCGCUCACCUUGGAUUGCUGAAUCUUCUCAGAGACGUCGUCCAUGAAGGAAUUCGAUCAAUCAUCAGAUGCUGUUGGGGCUUCGAUUCGGUUCAUUCUCUGACUUCUUGUUGUUGGAUUGCGCAGGACGCGCCGCCUUAAACGAGCUCUCAUCUCAAGACUACGGGAGAAUCAGAUUUUCAAAUUGGGUCAUGUAAUUGAAAGUGCUAAAGUGGUGGUAGCUGGAGUGUCAUGGCAAUUCACUGAAGGUAAUGUCCAGUUGGCCUUGUUAGAAGGGAAUCAAUGGAUUCUGUUUUGAAAAAGACUCUGACCAGGGAAUGAACCUUCACCCAAAAGAUUGGAAUGAAGCAAUCUCAAAUUGAAAUGUAGGAAUGUCAGGCUUUUGAUAUCCAUUUGAAGUGGCAUGGAACCAACUGAAGCUUAAUGACUUACUGGGAAACUGAAAGAAUUUAAGAGGCUGUACAAAUUAACCUGCUGAAGACAUUGAGACAAUAUCAUGCAGUUUCCUUCUGGAGUUGAUACCAUUAUAUGAAACAUCAACUUUGUGGUAGGUUUAAGCUUUGUAAGUUGCAGUAAGUUUCUUUAUUUCGGAUAAGGUAGUGCAAUAAGUUGUAUUUACACAACUGUAAUGACUUUAGAUUUUGAUCGAAUGAGAUGGUGUAUAUGGUUU